rnacentral:rRNA from 1 species
AUGAACGCUGGCGGCGUGCUUAACACAUGCAAGUCGAACGGUGAACGAGGGAGCUUGCUCCCUCCGGAUCAGUGGCGAACGGGUGAGUAACACGUGAGUAACCUGCCCUUGACUCUGGGAUAAGCGUUGGAAACGACGUCUAAUACCGGAUACGACCUUCGGAGGCAUCUCCUGAAGGUGGAAAGAAUUUCGGUCAAGGAUGGACUCGCGGCCUAUCAGCUAGUUGGUGAGGUAAUGGCUCACCAAGGCGACGACGGGUAGCCG